rnacentral:tRNA from 1 species
UCCCUUAUAGCUCAGUGGUUAGAGCGGUCAUACUUUUUUGAUGCGUCAUCGGUUCGAUUCCGAUUAAGGGAA